UACAGAGGAGCCAGGCGUUGUCCGGAUUGACUGGGCGUAAAGCGCACGCAGGCGGACGCGCGCGUGGGGUGUGAAAUCUGGCCGCUUAACGGCCAGGCGCCAUCCCAUACGGCGCGUCUGGAGUGAUGCAGAGGUCGGUGGAAUUGCCGGUGUAGUGGUGAAAUGCGUAGAGAUCGGCAGGAACACCCAGGGGGAAACCAGCCGACUGGGCAUCUACUGACGCUGAGGUGCGAGAGCGUGGGGAGCGAACCGG
rnacentral:rRNA from 1 species